GAGGUGCUUGUACCUUUCAAGCGAGUGGUGAACGGGUGAGUAACACGUGGAUUACCUGCCUCAAGGCUGGGGAUAACAUUUGGAAACAGAUGCUAAUACCGAAUAAAACUUAGUAUCGCAUGAUAUCAAGUUAAAAGGCGCUACGGCGUCACCUAGAGAUGGAUCCGCGGUGCAUUAGUUAGUUGGUGGGGUAAAGGCUUACCAAGACGAUGAUGCAUAGCCGAGUUGAGAGACUGAUCGGCCACAUUGGGACUGAGACACGGCCCAAACUUAUACGGGAGGCUGCAGUAGGGAAUCUUCCACAAUGGGCGCAAGCCUGAUGGAGCAACGCCGCGUGUGUGAUGAAGGCUUUCGGGUCGUAAAGCACUGUUGUAUGGGAAGAAAUGCUAAAAUAGGGAAUGAUUUUAGUUUGACGGUACCAUACCAGAAAGGGACGGCUAAAUACGUGCCAGCAGCCGCGGUAAUACGUAUGUCCCGAGCGUUAUCCGGAUUUAUUGGGCGUAAAGCGAGCGCAGACGGUUGAUUAAGUCUGAUGUGAAAGCCCGGAGCUCAACUCCGGAAUGGCAUUGGAAACUGGUUAACUUGAGUGUUGUAGAGGUAAGUGGAACUCCAUGUGUAGCGGUGGAAUGCGUAGAUAUAUGGAAGAACACCAGUGGCGAAGGCGGCUUACUGGACAACAACUGACGUUGAGGCUCGAAAGUGUGGGUAGCAAACAGGAUUAGAUACCCUGGUAGUCCACACCGUAAACGAUGAAUACUAGGUGUUAGGAGGUUUCCGCCUCUUAGUGCCGAAGCUAACGCAUUAAGUAUUCCGCCUGGGGAGUACGACCGCAAGGUUGAAACUCAAAGGAAUUGACGGGGACCCGCACAAGCGGUGGAGCAUGUGGUUUAAUUCGAAGCAACGCGAAGAACCUUACCAGGUCUUGACAUCCUUUGAAGCUUUUAGAGAUAGAAGUGUUCUCUUCGGAGACAAAGUGACAGGUGGUGCAUGGUCGUCGUCAGCUCGUGUCGUGAGAUGUUGGGUUAAGUCCCGCAACGAGCGCAACCCUUAUUGUUAGUUGCCAGCAUUCAGUUGGGCACUCUAGCGAGACUGCCGGUGACAAACCGGAGGAAGGCGGGGACGACGUCAGAUCAUCAUGCCCCUUAUGACCUGGGCUACACACGUGCUACAAUGGCGUAUACAACGAGUUGCCAACCUGCGAAGGUGAGCUAAUCUCUUAAAGUACGUCUCAGUUCGGACUGCAGUCUGCAACUCGACUGCACGAAGUCGGAAUCGCUAGUAAUCGCGGAUCAGCACGCCGCGGUGAAUACGUUCCCGGGUCUUGUACACACCGCCCGUCACACCAUGGGAGUUUGUAAUGCCCAAAGCCGGUGGCCUAA
rnacentral:rRNA from 1 species